AUACGGAGGAUGCGAGCGUUAUCCGGAUUUAUUGGGUUUAAAGGGAGCGUAGGCGGGAGCUUAAGUCAGCGGUUAAAUGGUGCGGCUCAACCGUGCCCUGCCGUUGAAACUGGGUUUCUUGAGAGUGCAAGAGGCGGAUGGAAUUCAUGGUGUGGCGGGGAAAUGCUUAGAUAUCAUGAAGAACUCCGAUUGCGAAGGCAGUCCGCUGGGGCACGUCUGACGCUGAUGCUCGAAGGUGCGGGAAUCAAACAGGAUUGGAUACCCUGGUAGUCCGCACGGUAAACGAUGAUUACCCGCUGUCGGCGGUAGACAGUCGGCGGCCAAGCGAAAGCGAUAAGUAAUCCACCUGGGGAGUACGCCGGCAACGGUGAAACUCAAAUGAAUUGACGGGG
rnacentral:rRNA from 1 species